CGUGUAGGCGGUCGGUCAAGUCCGAUGUGAAAGCCCGGGGCUCACCCCCGGAAGUGCAUCGGAAACUAGCCGGCUGGAGCGCGAUAGAGGAGGGUGGAAUUCCUGGUGUAGCGGUGAAAUGCGUAGAUAUCAGGAGGAACACCGGCGGCGAAGGCGGCCCUCUGGAUCGUUGCUGACGCUGAGACGCGAAGGCGUGGGGAGCAAACAGGAUUAGAUACCCUGGUAGUCCACGCUGUAAACGAUGGGUACUAGGUGUUCGGGGUAUUGACCCCCUGAGUGCCGCAGCUAACGCAUUAAGUACCCCGCCUGGGGACUACGGCCGCAAGGUUAAA
rnacentral:rRNA from 1 species